AUUUUUUUCUUUUGCAGAGAAUCGAGGCUUUUUUAUAUGCUCAGCUUGCAGUAUUUUGUUCUUUCCUAGAGAGUCAAGGCUUUUUUAGCUGCACAGCUUGAGGGGAAUCAGAUUAUCAAAUUGGGUCAUGUAAUUGAAAGUGUUAAAAGUGCUAUAGAUGGAGUGUCAUGGCAAGUCACUGAAGGUCCUCUACAGAUUUUUGGAUUACUUAAGCAAAUUUGAUUGGGAGAAAUACUGUGUAAGUUUAAAUGGACCAGUUUACAAAUCCUCUCUACCUAAUAUUGUGGCUGAAGUACCAGAUAAUAGAGGGGAUGAUGUACUGCUAGGUGAAGAGUUUAUUAGAAACUGUGUACCAUCAAAGGGGUGUGAGACAAACUUACGAGUUUGUUCCUUAUAAUUGAUCCACUAAAAGAGAACAACCACCUUGGCCGUAGUGUCAAUAGAGGUAGCUUCUAUCGAAAAUGUAGUGCUUUUUAAAUAUGGAGCUCGCAAGCUAGGCUGGAUUCUCUUGUUACCAGCAGAGAGAAUAUCAGAUGAACUUAACAAGUUUUUAGCAACACUUUGGAUAGGCAUGAAAGUAAAUGUCAGACUACUGUGCAAAAUAAUGCC